rnacentral:lncRNA from 1 species
UGUUUCUAAGUAAUACAAAGUUUAUACAUUGUUAUUCCGCUGUGCAAAUCUGUUCCUUUGUUUAUGAACCUCAUAUUCGAAUAUGACUUAGUAAAUAAAAGACUUAAAAUGGAUCAAACAAGCAAAGAAAUUAAUAAGUAAGUCUGCGGACUCCAUAAGGUCGAGAGGCCAGGGUUCGGGUCUUACAAGGACCAACGUGCUAAUAUGUGUACUGAUGGACAGCCACGGACGUCC